GACGAACGCUGGCGGCGUGCUUAACACAUGCAAGUCGAACGGAAAGGCGCUGCUUUUGUGGGGUGCUCGAGUGGCGAACGGGUGAGUAACACGUGAGUAACCUGCCCUUGACUUUGGGAUAACUUCAGGAAACUGGGGCUAAUACCGGAUAGGAGCUCCUGCUGCAUGGUGGGGGUUGGAAAGUUUCGGCGGUUGGGGAUGGACUCGCGGCUUAUCAGCUUGUUGGUGGGGUAGUGGCUUACCAAGGCUUGGACGGGUAGCCGGCCUGAGAGGGUGACCGGCCACAUUGGGACGGAGAUACGGCACAGACUCCAACCGGACGCAACAGUGGAGAGCAUUGCACAGUGGGAUGAAGCCUGAUGCGACGACGCCGCGUGCGGGAUAACGGCCUUCGGGUUGUAAACCACUUUCGCCUGUGACGGAGAGUGAGUGACGGUACUGGAUAAAGAAGCACCGGCUAACUACGUG
rnacentral:rRNA from 1 species